rnacentral:lncRNA from 1 species
CUUCACUUCCUUUAAAUUAGUUUACUGUGUUAUUGGUAAGAUCAUGAAUCUUGCUGUCCUGCCCUAUUCAGAGCCUGAGUCAUGAUCAUGUUUUCUCUUCCAGUGAGAUUAUUAUAGGAUGAAGGCCAAGUGGAUGUCAGAGAAAACAGAACUUUAAUAAAUGGAAUGUCUGCAAUGCUAUAUCAGAGAGUUUAAAGACAAAAUGAGUAUAUGACUUUGAAGCAAAGGAUGGUGGAUAUGUGAGGAGUGGAUGAACCUUUUGUUUUCUUCUUCAUUAUUAUGAGCCGGACCCAGAAGACCUGGAGUAGAAGAGGAGUGACUGGAUUCUUUUCAUCUCUUUGUCAGAAUCUGGGCACAAUAGCAGCCGUGAUGAUGUUUUGGAGAGCUAUAAAAGCAAAUAGAACUUUUAAACACUCCAGCAAAAGGUUUUCAAAGGAACUUGUAGCACCCAUGUGGUCACUCUUCCUGGUGAUCACAACAGUCACUGUGGUGAUUUCGAAGUCCCUUUCCUUCACUUCUCUAACACUACAGUCAUUCAACGUGUAGCCAAGGCAAGCUUUUAAAGAGUAAAUCCAGUCAGUUUAUACUUUGACUUGCAACUCUCUUACUAGACUGAGAAUAAGGUCCAGACUCCUCAUUUUUUCUCUUUAAGAUCUUACUUGAACUGGCUUGUACUUCUUUCUCUGAUCUUGUUCUGAACAUGUUUCUAUUUCAUGCACUACCUACC